CCUACGGGUGGCAGCAGUCGAGAAUCAUUCACAAUGGGGGAAACCCUGAUGGUGCGACGCCGCGUGGGGGAAUGAAGGUCUUCGGAUGGUAAACCCCUGACAUGUGGGAGCAAAUUAAAAAGAUAGUACCACAAUAGGAAGAGACGGCUAACUCUGUGCCAGCAGCCGCGGUAAUACAGAGGUCUCAAGCGUUGUUCGGAAUCACUGGGCGUAAAGGGUGCGUAGGCUGUUUAGUAGGUCGUGUGUGAAAGGCGCGGGCUCAACCCGCGGACGGCACAUGAUACUGCGAGCCUAGAGUAUUGGAGGGGGAAGCGGAAUUCUAGGUGUAGCAGUGAAAUGCGUAGAUAUCGGGAGGAACACUCGUGGCGAAGGCGGGUUCCUGGACAUUAACUGACGCUGAGGCACGAAGGCCAGGGGAGCGAAAAGGAUUAGAUACCCCAGUAGUC
rnacentral:rRNA from 1 species